GCAAGUCGAGGGGCAGCAUAAAUUACUUGUAAUUCGAUGGCGACCGGCGAACGGCCUGUGUAACGCGUAUGCAACUUACCUUUUACUAGAGAAUAGCCAAGAGAAAUUUUGAUUAAUGCUCUAUGUUCUUAUUUACUCGCAUGAGUAAAUAAGCAAAGCUCCGGCGGUAAAAGAUGGGCAUGUGUCCUAUUAGCUUGUAGGUGAGGUAAUGGCUCACCUAAGCUCCGAUAGGUAGGGGUCCUGAGAGGGAGAUCCCCCACACUGGUACUGAGACACGGACCAGACUUCUACGGAAGGCAGCAGUAAGGAAUAUUGGACAAUGGAGGCAACUCUGAUCCAGCCAUGCCGCGUGAAGGAAGACGGCCUUAUGGGUUGUAAACUUCUUUUAUACAGGAAGAAACCUUUCCACGUGUGGAAAGCUGACGGUACUGUAAGAAUAAGGAUCGGCUAACUCCGUGCCAGCAGCCGCGGUAAUACGGAGGAUCCAAGCGUUAUCCGGAAUUAUUGGGUUUAAAGGGUCCGCAGGCUGUUUGUUAAGUCAGAGGUGAAAUCCUACCGCUCAACGGUAGAACUGCCUUUGAUACUGGCAAACUUGAGUUAUUGUGAAGUAGUUAGAAUGUGUAGUGUAGCGGUGAAAUGCAUAGAUAUUACACAGAAUACCGAUUGCGAAAGCAGAUUACUAACAAUAUACUGACGCUGAGGGACGAAAGCGUGGGUAGCGAACAGGAUUAGAUACCCUGGUAGUCCACGCCGUANACGAUGGUCACUAGCUGUUCGAUGUACAUUGGUACGUUGAGUGGCUAAGCGAAAGUGAUAAGUGACCCACCUGGGGAGUACGCUCGCAAGAGUGAAACU
rnacentral:rRNA from 1 species